AGAUGAAUGAUGACGGCAGAGGGCAGAGAGCUUAGAGGACGCGGUACCAAGCCCCGUCCCUCGCCCAUCCCAACGAAGGUCUUAGAAUACAAUCAACCAACUACAGGAAGAAUUUGUAGAGGAGGUUUUCUUGUGUGUCUGCAUCGCCCCACCCACAGGUAACCCCAGAGCCAGAGAUGGAGUCUAGGAAGGUUUAGGAGCAAUCCCGGCUGAAUGCAGAUGUAUACCCUACGUGGUCAUGGAACACGAUGUUGUCUUCCUAGAGAUGUGACAUGCCAGUUUCACCAUUAAUCCAGGGACAGGACCCUUCAUCAGGAAGGGAAGCAUCCCAACAAAACCUUACAGCCCUAUUAGCUGCCUGUAUCCCAGACAUCUCCUGUUUUAGGGUAUUCUACCUCCUCGUUUUUCAGUUUCGCCAGCAACUGGGCUCUACCAAUAGCUUCAAGGAGGGAGAAGCUUCCUGACUCCCAGAACACUAGAAAAGCCUCAAGACAGUAGCCAUCAGGACCUCGACACUCCCUUGUGACUGUUUUAAGAUCAUGGAAAAGGCCUCUUUGGAGAUGGCAUUGCCUCAGGCCCUGUACCAUGUACUUAUGUAUCAAGAUUUAAACAAGGCAGACAUACUAUAAUUAGAGUGCUUGCCACCCUGAAGCUCCUUUUUAGCUUUCAAAUAAGACCGUUUUAUUAAAUGACAUAAUCACUGUUAUUAUUAGCACUAUCACUGACCUUUUUUUUUAUCUGAAAAAGGCUUUAUAGUGCCCACAUGUGGCAAUGUUAAUUUCGUUGUACUUGUUUCAGAGAUGAUAAAUUUGAGACCCCAAAAGGCCCAAAGUCUCUGCUAAGGUUCUGAUACAGGCUGUGUUCUCCAUUGGGUGGCCCCAGAGAUAUGUUCCCUGAAUUUCUAAAGCUACGACCCACAAGACUUCUCCAGGAUGAAUUUAUUCUUUCAGGCCUCCUAGGCAUUUAACUCAGGAAGAACCUGGCAUGCCUGGGUAUUGGUGAGACUGUGGGGAGUCUGUGUUCUUGGGGGAACCUGUCAUCUGUCUGUUAUCUCUUGGAUUGGUUCCCCUACAUACUAGUACAAAGUAGGGGUGGGGAGGGGAGGAUAACAAAACAUUUGAAGGUUUAGCAGAACUGUCUAAAAAGCCCCUAGUCUAGACUCCUCCAACACUUGAUUUAUUGGUAGGACCACACUGCUCCAGAGCUCAAAAUGUUACCAGGAAAAAUUUCAAGGUCCAGUUUGAUCUUAGACAAGGCUCACAGGCCACCUGUCUUGAAAAGAAUAUCCUGUUGCCUCUGAUGGGGGGGAAGAAAAGGCAGGGAGAGUCAGAUUCCCAUCCUUCAUACCAAAGUUGGGGCUAUAUUUAGCUUUGUCUCAAAUCAAAUUAUGGGCUACCGAGUUGUGGAGAGGAACUCUGUCUACAGGCAGCUCACUGGAUUCAAGAAAUGAUAGCACUAACUAGGUGAGCUGUGGGGUCUCAGAAGUGACGCUAGAAAAUACGUUCAUGUAUUUUUAAAAUAACUUUUUUCAAAAGUUUAUAGCACAUUCAUUGUAAAAACAUUUGAAAAAUACAGAAAGUUAUAUAGAUUACUCAGAAUACCCAGGGAUCUUCAAUAUUAAAAAUGUGUUGCAUUUUUUUCCCACUCUUUAAAAAAUGCAUCUUUUAAUCCAAACACCAACUCUUUCUUACACACAUGGGUAUAUUCUUGAGAAGAGAAAUUUCCUUGUUGUUUUAAAAAUUAUACUUAUUGUCAAAAGAACAAUUUUUUUGCGUUAGAUUUCAGAAGAAAAAUAUUCACCCAUAUAACCACUGCUACAGC
rnacentral:lncRNA from 1 species